UACGGGGGGGGCAAGCGUUGUUCGGAAUUACUGGGCGUAAAGGGCUCGUAGGUGGCCAACUAAGUCAGACGUGAAAUCCCUCGGCUUAACCGGGGAACUGCGUCUGAUACUGGAUGGCUUGAGUUCGGGAGAGGGAUGCGGAAUUCCAGGUGUAGCGGUGAAAUGCGUAGAUAUCAGGAGGAACACCGGUGGCGAAGGCGGAUCUCUGGGCCGAUACUGACGCUGAGGAGCGAAAGCGUGGGGAGCGAACAGG
rnacentral:rRNA from 1 species